GUAUGUGUAUGUGUAUUGCGGUGGUGGUGUGUUAGGGGUUCUCCCUCUGUUCUCUGAUAUUGAUUUAUGGGGUCCUCUCCCCUGACACCCUCUGGGUUUAUGGACCUGAGCCCCAAGCAUCUGAUGCCCUUUUCUGCUCCCAGAUCAGUGCCAAUCUGAGUGGUCUGAGCUCCCCCUCCGCGGAUGCGGCCCUAGGCAUUUGGAGAACAAGAUGGUGGCAGCUCCCCCUGUUUAACACAGUCUACCUAGACCUGGUAUGGCCAACAUCAAGGGAUUAUGACAGGUGCAGCAGCACUCAAGCAUUGCAUUUCUCUCAGAGGACACGUUUGUAUUUGGUGGUUGGGGCUGGGAUGAAGAAUCAAGGGAAAGUGCUGAUGACAAACACGAGGCCCCCAUCCUCCCGUCAUCCGGCAUGUCUGAUACCAAGGCCGUCCUGGAUCCUCGGUGGGCAGAGGUGCGCUUCCAUGGACCUUCACCAAAAAAAAUAAAAAAACCUGGACGCUUCCUGGUGACACCUCGUUCCUCUCUCUCUCUCUCUACCUCUCUCUCUGUCUCUCCCUGCUUCCCUGAUGUUAUCAGAGGCUGUCCGGGACGCCCAGCGUAACCCCUUUGUGGCUCGCGGACCCGUCUUCCGUCUGCACACGUGUGUGUCACAUUAUCUGUCAAGAGGCCAGACUCUAUUUCCUGUGUACUUGGGAGUUAUGGGAUUGGGGUUGAGGGUGGGAGUUGGAGUUGAAGGAGGUGGUGGUGGGGUGGGGGGGGCUGCAACAGGAAAAAGGAAGUGGACACAGACCGACAUUCAUGGGCAGGGACUGGAGGGAGAGAUUGUGUGUGGAGAUUCCCCUCCGAGCCAAGAUUUAUCCUCUAAUUUGGCCGUGCAGCUCAGGGCGUUAUUAUAAAGACAUUAGGCCUGAGCGCUGCUGAAGGUCUGGGGAGAGUCAUUGAAGCGCCUGGCCAGCUCAGCCCACGAGCAGAGGUCAGCUGGCCUGCAGAAAGUCAAACAGCUGUGCAGAAAGGUUAGGGCCUGAAACAAGGAAUUUAAAGAUUUAAUCUCUAUACCUAAUGUGUGUAACUGUUAAGCGUCACUGAUAAACUGCAGAUGGGUGUAGAUUGCCUUAGUGUAUUACAUUGUAAUCACAGUAUUAGCUUUGGUGUUCUUAAAGCCAGCUGACGGUUAUAGUGACAACGGUAGUUACAGUCUCCCUUGCCCACACACACACACACACACGCAUCAUGGGGACCCUCUUGAACUUCGGCUUUGUGUCUCUUGUCGUUUAUUCAUCUUACAUGGAGGCUGCAUGCCUUUUGAAAUGUCACAGGAGAGCAACAGUCAAGGAAAAUGUGUGAAGAAUGAAGAAGAAUCUAUUUCUAUGUAGGGCGUCGACCGCCUUUGAAGCCGCCUGGUCAACAAAUCCCAACAUGGUGUUCGCAGUUUUAGGGAAAUAUUCAACACUGGCGCUGUAAUCUGGAACCUAAUGAGGCUUCUGAGUCACAACAGUUAGCCAUACUGUGACCUCAAUAAAAUAGCUAUUUCACAGAA